rnacentral:misc_RNA from 1 species
GAUGAAGAACGCAGCGAAAUGCGAUAAGUAAUGUGAAUUGCAGAAUUCAGUGAAUCAUCGAAUCUUUGAACGCACAUUGCGCCCGCCAGUAUUCUGGCGGGCAUGCCUGUCCGAGCGUCAUUUCAACCCUCGAACCCCUCCGGGGGGUCGGCGUUGGGGAUCGGCCCUUUACGGGGCCGGCCCCGAAAUACAGUGGCGGUCUCGCCGCCGCCUCUCCUGCGCAGUAGUUUGCACACUCGCAUCGGGAGCGCGGCGCGUCCACAGCCGUUAAACACCCCAAACUUCUGAAAUGUUGACCUCGGAUCAGGUAGGAAUACCCGCUGAACUUAAGCAUAUCAAUAAGCGGAGGA